GUAUCUAAACCUCUAUAAAAACAGAGGUUAUAGUUCAGCAAAACUGCUUUUUUUCCUUGCUACUAUCAACAGUGGCCCUCCUUUCUGCUCUGUGUUCUCUCUAAUUUCUCUCAUUCUUCUUAUCACCUUUGAGGAUCCCGACAGGUUAGGCCUGACAAGUGGCAUUUAAUGUGGGGUCCAAGAAGGUACACUGAGGGAUUAGAGGUUACUCCUCCUAUGUCCAUGAUUUCUCCUUUAUAGCAGACCUUAUCAAGAAUGCAGAAGAUGGGACGAAAUGUUAUAGUAUUUUUCUUUUCCGGUGUUGGAGCAAACAUGCACAGGGAUAAGAAUAAUUCAAUGAAUGAAAAGGAAACGAAGCAAAAAAAAAGUAUUCUAAAUAGAGAUAAUAAAAUAGUUGCCCACCAGAGUAAUAGAAGAUUUAGAAAUUGACUUCAGCAAAUUGCUCCACCUGAAACUCAUGUUCCUGGGACUACUCUUCUUCCCUCCUUUUGCUUGCAGGAAGUAAGAGGUAAAUAUCUGAGAAUUUUACCCUAAUCCUCCUGCUUUUAAGGACAACACUCAAAGAAUUCUUCUCAUUUCUCACCUCGCAAUUUCCCUGGACAUUGUCAUCUUCAGAAAUACAUGAUUCUACAAAAUAAAUUUGACUGAUAAAC
rnacentral:lncRNA from 1 species